rnacentral:lncRNA from 1 species
GGACUUCCAGGAAGCUAAGCAAGCAGGAAACACGGGCCCAGAAGACAGCUUACUGAAGAGGGACCAUGGAAAAGUUUAGCAAUGCUAUCAACUUAGACUUAUUAUUGAUCAAUAAUUUUGUUAGACAAGACGAAACCAUAGAAAUAGGUAAUAUUGUGUUAUUUUGUUAAUUUUUGCUUUUUCCUAGCUUCUAUAAUCAUGGAAGAACUUGAGCAUGAUUGUCUUUUCACAUAAAGGGAGGAAAUGGGGGUGUAUGUCUUGAAUGAUGUGUGGUUCACAUUGUGGCCGAUCCCUACACCAAAUGCCCAGGAGUGGAGUCAUAUAACUCACAGGCAAAAUGCCAGUGGGUCGAGAGUAUAAGAAAUCUAACAGUGCCCAUUUCCUACAGAGCAGCAAAUGGCAUUUCAGAGCAAUUUUCAUGGUGUCAUCUUUUCCAAGGUUUAUGUACACAGGGAAGAUGGAGGGAACUUCUAGAUAUAUUUGC